GUAAUAGGCACCACACUAAAUAACGACUCAUCUUCAAAAGAAUAGUUCUUUUUAAGAAGUACUUAGAAAAACCCAAAUAUACUUAACCCAAAUUCCUUUCGUACUAAUGAGAACGAUUAUCAAUCGUAGAUAGGAUCUGACCUGAUUCACAUCGGUCUAAACUCAGAUCACGCAAGGUUUUAAUAGAUGAACAAUCUAACCCUUUAAGGCUUCUGCACCCUAAGGACACCUUAAUCCAACAUCGAGGUCGCAAACCCUCUCGUCAAUAAGAACUCUCAAAGAGGAUAACGCUGUUAUCCCUGCGGAAACUUAUUCAAAUCCUCAACAAACUUUUUACUAAAGCUGGCUCGUUUAUCUUUAUUGUAGAUUUUAUCUUUAAAUUUUUAUAAAAGAUGUUUGUCUUUUACAGUUGCCCCAACCAAAAACUAAAAAAUAAUGAUCAGAUGAUAUCAUAUUUAUUUCGCCUAAAGUUCGACAGGGUCUUAUCGUCCCACGAAUACAUUAAAGCUUCUGCACUUUAAUUUCAAAUUCAAAGAAGAAAAAAAGAGACAGUCGAUCCCCAUUUAUCCAUUCAUACAAGACCCUAAUUAAGGGCCAAAUGAUUAUGCUACCUUCGCACAGUCAGAGUACUGCGGCCGUUAAACUAAUUUGUCACUGGGCAGGAUUAACUUCCUAUGUUUCUCAAGAAGCUAUGUUUUUAGUAAACAGUUGAAAAUCUUUUGUUGCCGAGUUCCUUUUCUUUUUUGUUCUCUUAAGAUUUUCCCCUUGAGUUAGAAGACUUUUUUAUAAAGGUAUUUCCAGUAACUAAUACUAGUCUUUAUCGAAUAAAAGUAUAACGAAAGAUUAAAUUUCAAAAGGAAAAUUUUUACUAAUUAAAAAAUUAUUAUUUAUCUAUUUUUUGAUAUCAUCUAAGUAACUUUAGAUAAAAAUUAUUAGCCUAUUCUAUUUAUUUUUACAGUAACGAUAAAACUAAUUUUAACACUUUAACUUUUGUUGGCAAUUUCUAAGCCUACUUUAUUACAAUUUUGACCGGACUCUAACAUUUAUUUAUCUCAAGGUUGUUUCCUAUAAAGAAGGGGCUUGUCCCCCUUCUUUUCACUGAGCAAGUGUGUGCUCGCUAUCCUUAUAGAAAUUUUCCCAGAAACUAGCUAUAUCGGUGUUCGUUUAACAUAUCAUUACAAUUUUUUCCUUUUGGUCUACUAUUGCAACAGUAGGUUUAAAUCUCCUACGAGAAGAAAAAAAUAGCUCCCACCGAAUCGAGAUAUCUUUAACAAUAAGAAGUAUUCUAUUUUUACCAUAAUGCAAAAGGUACAAAUUAUAAUUUUCUUUUUUGAUUUUAAAAGUAUUCCCUUACGGUACUAUUUAUAUAGUCUAAUAUUAAUUUUUCGAUAACACUACUUAAAUAAAAAGUUAUUUCCCUUAACUACUAAGAUAUAAGAAAUGUUCUUAAAGACUAAAAUUUUAAAACUAGGAAGAUUAG
rnacentral:rRNA from 1 species